rnacentral:rRNA from 1 species
GACGAACGCUGGCGGCGUGCUUAACACAUGCAAGUCGAACGGUAAGGCCCUUCGGGGUACACGAGUGGCGAACGGGUGAGUAACACGUGGGUGAUCUGCCCUGCACUUCGGGAUAAGCCUGGGAAACUGGGUCUAAUACCGGAUAGGACCACUGCCUGCAUGGGUGGUGGUGGAAAGCUUUUGCGGUGUGGGAUGGGCCCGCGGCCUAUCAGCUUGUUGGUGGGGUGAUGGCCUACCAAGGCGACGACGGGUAGCCGGCCUGAGAGGGUGACCGGCCACACUGGGACUGGGAUACGGCCCAGACUCCUACGGGAGGCAGCAGUGGGGAAUAUUGCACAAUGGGCGCAAGCCUGAUGCAGCGACGCCGCGUGAGGGAUGACGGCCUUCGGGUUGUAAACCUCUUUCAGCACCGACGAAGCGCAAGUGACGGUAGGUGCAGAAGAAGGACCGGCCAACUACGUGCCAGCCGCCGCGGUAACAC